AGAGUUUGAUCAUGGCUCAGGAUUAACGCUGGCGGCGUGCCUAACACAUGCAAGUCGAACGCGGUAGCAAUACCGAGUGGCAGACGGGUGAGUAACACGUGGUCAACCUACCUUCGAGUGGGGGAUAACUAGCCGAAAGGUUAGCUAAUACCGCAUGACACUUCGGGCGGCAUCGCCUGAAGUUGAAAGGAGCAAUCCGC
rnacentral:rRNA from 1 species